AGCUUGCGGGAUCAGACGGCUUUGCUAGGCUGUUUUAAAGCCCCGUCAACAUUAGCCCCUAGGCCGAUCUGUAAGAAGGAUCCCCUUAGCCUAUCAGAGGUCAAGAUGCAGUCAUUAUCAUUUGUUAAUACCUAUACAGUCCUUUCCGAUCUACAAGUAGGACAAGGAGAGUGUGCAGGGCAAGUGUGACCUUCCUGGUCCCAUCCCUUAAGUCUGUGAGUCAACACAGGAAGGAGUAAUGGAUGGAUAGUUAUUUUAUUUCCAAAGCUGCGAUCAUAUGGAUGGAUGAAUGAUGAGUAGUAGACAGGAUAUAACAGAUAUAAUCCUGACUAGUCUCCCAGUCCCUGCCGCUGAAAAACAUCCCCACAGCAUGAUGCCUCCACCAUGCUAGGUUUAACAAAAUGACAAGGUGAAAAAAUCUAUGAAUCUGCCCUUGAGCAAGGCACUUAACCCUAAUGGCUCCAGGGUUACUGAUCGUAAUGGAGAGGGGGGUCACAGCCAGCCAUUAUGAACGGUAACCCUGGAGCCAUAAGGGUUAAGUGCUUUGCUCAAGGGCACAUCCAUAGAUGUUUCACCUUGUCGGCUCGGGGAUUCAAACUAGCAACCUCUGUUACUGGCCCAACGCUCAAACCGCUAGGCUACCUGCUUAAACCCCACCAUCAUUAACCCCUAAGCUUGUGGGCCGAUCUGUAAUGAGGAUCCCCUUAACCUAUCACAGGGCAAGCUGCAGUCGUUACCCUUUAGUUAACACCUAUCCAAUCCUUUCAGAGUGGGAUAUGACAAAAAAACACAUUUCUAAAUAUCAUGUGAAAGAGGACAAAUAUUAGUACCCACCAAAUUACUACACACACACUUCAAAGCGUUCCUCCAUCUGGAACCACAAACGUGCACUUUAGUAAACAACAAAAGCAUCUCAAAGGCUCAAUUAAAUGCAUGCAUAUGUAUAUACACAAACACACACACACAAUCAAAUUGUCCCAUCUCUGUUGAAAACAUAAAAUUGUUAACUAUAUUACAAGCACUGUGUGUGUGUGUGUGUGUGUGUGUGUGUGUGGGACGACCUACCCCUCCACAGACUCGUCUCUCAGCUGUGUGUGUGUGUGUGUGGGACGACCUACCCCUCCACAGACUCGUCUCUCAGCUGUGUGUGUGUGUGUGUGUGGGACGACCUACCCCUCCACAGACUCGUCUCUCAGCUGUGUGUGUGUGUGUGGGACGACCUACCCCUCCACAGACUCGUCUCUCAGCUGUGUGUGUGUGUGUGGGACGACCUACCCCUCCACAGACUCGUCUCUCAGCUGUGUGUGUGUGUGUGUGUGUGUGUGUGUGGGACGACCUACCCCUCCACAGACUCGUCUCUCACCUGUGUGUGUGUGUGUGUGUGUGUGUGGGACGACCUACCCCUGUUAAUAAAGUGCAGUUACUUUCACAGAUGCACAGCUCAUAACACUGACAACCAAGGCCUUACACAGACUGCUAUAACAUGGGAGGUAAUGGCGCGUGUGUGUAGGGAGGAGUAAGAGUUUAUUUUCCAUGUUUUUAAAUGAAUACUUUUGAAAUCCUAUUGAUUCAUGUUCUCAGAAUAAUACAGAGUGACUCACCUGAAGCCUCCAUCCUUCAGAUUCAUUCUGAAACGGUGGACGUACGGUGUCCUGAACCAGAGAGAGGAUGAGUUUACACUCGGUUUCAGUAGGGUCGUGUAAAUCAAAAGGUGAGACAAACUGGGUGACAUUAAAACACACUCAAAUGUUGAAAACACUAUCCACUCAUUCUGAAAGUGCUUUUUUAGUUCUAAUGAGGUAUUACUACUCAUCUCACUGCAAUACUUCUUAGAGUAUUGUAGUGAGAUGAGUAUAGACCAGGCCAAGAGUGUGCAAAGCUGCCAUCAAGGCAAAGGGUGGCUACUUUGAAGAAUCUCAGGUAUAAAAUAUUUUGAUUUGUUUAACAUUUUUUUGGUUACUACAUGAUUCCAUAUGUGUUAUUUCAUAGUUUUGAUGUCUUCACUAUUAUUCUACAAUGUAGAAAAUAGUACAAAUAAAGAAAAACCCUUGAAUGAAUAGGUGUGUCCAAGCUUUUUAGAUACUGUGGAGAUAACGUGAUUUGACUUGUCAUUUUAUCUGUGGCCAAUGACCUUGAGCCUUCUUGGAUGGGCACUUCUAAUGUAAUUCUAUGGCAGCACCCAAGGGGCUAGAAUUUUAGAGCUCUACCCACGAGUGACAGAACACUGAGCCAAUCACGGCGCAACGCUACGUAUUUUCUGCUGGCUUGCCUUGCCCAACCAUCGCAGAAAGCACUUGAGCUAGGCUGAAACACCUGCAUCUUGGAGCUGCCUCACUCAAGAAAACAAAAAAGAGACCAUGUUUGUAUGCAGCUUUAUUAACAGCCCUGAAUGACGGGUCGCCACUGAACAUGGGAGACAAUGACCAAAAAUAUGGCUUAGUUUUCAAAUUAUUUCAAAUGAUUGUUUGGAAGCUUCUUGCGUAU
ensembl:lncRNA